UAUCACAGACAUAAUGUACACAAUGUGAUAGAAGAAUAACCCAUUUAUUGAUUUAUAUUUAAAAUUAUAAAUUUGCCCUUAGAUUUGUAUAGAAAUGUGUCAGCCAAUCUGGCAUCUAGGGCACACAUCUAACACCUUAGGCAUGGAUAAGAAGUGGGACGCCCAAGAACAAGGAUGUGUGGACAUCCAAGGGGAGAAUAGAAAGGCAGGAG
rnacentral:lncRNA from 1 species